rnacentral:rRNA from 1 species
AGUGAACGCUGGCGGUAGGCCUAACACAUGCAAGUCGAACGGCAGCACAGUAAGAGCUUGCUCUUACGGGUGGCGAGUGGCGGACGGGUGAGGAAUACAUCGGAAUCUACUUUUUCGUGGGGGAUAACGUAGGGAAACUUACGCUAAUACCGCAUACGACCUACGGGUGAAAGCAGGGGAUCUUCGGACCUUGCGCGAUUGAAUGAGCCGAUGUCGGAUUAGCUAGUUGGCGGGGUAAAGGCCCACCAAGGCGACGAUCCGCAGCUGGUCUGAGAGGAUGAUCAGCCACACUGGAACUGAGACACGGUCCAGACUCCUACGGGAGGCAGCAGUGGGGAAUAUUGGACAAUGGGCGCAAGCCUGAUCCAGCCAUACCGCGUGGGUGAAGAAGGCCUUCGGGUUGUAAAGCCCUUUUGUUGGGAAAGAAAAGCAGCAGGUUAAUACCCCGCUGUUCUGACGGUACCUAAAGAAUAAGCACCGGCUAACUUCGUG